CACUCUGGUGGACUAGUGGUUAGAGCAACUGCCUCGGAUGCAGGAGGUUGCAGGUUCGAACCCUGACCAAGUCA